rnacentral:rRNA from 1 species
AUUGAACGCUGGCGGCAGACCUAACACAUGCAAGUCGGGCGGAUGAAGGGAGCUUGCUCCUGGAUUCAGCGGCGGACGGGUGAGUAAUGCCUAGGAAUCUGCCUGGUAGUGGGGGAUAACGUCCGGAAACGGGCGCUAAUACCGCAUACGUCCUGAGGGAGAAAGUGGGGGAUCUUCGGACCUCACGCUAUCAGAUGAGCCUAGGUCGGAUUAGCUAGUUGGUGGGGUAAAGGCCUACCAAGGCGACGAUCCGUAACUGGUCUGAGAGGAUGAUCAGUCACACUGGAACUGAGACACGGUCCAGACUCCUACGGGAGGCAGCAGUGGGGAAUAUUGGACAAUGGGCGAAAGCCUGAUCCAGCCAUGCCGCGUGUGUGAAGAAGGUCUUCGGAUUGUAAAGCACUUUAAGUUGGGAGGAAGGGCAGUAAGUUAAUACCUUGCUGUUUUGACGUUACCAACAGAAUAAGCACCGGCUAACUUCGUG